rnacentral:rRNA from 1 species
UACAGAGGCCUCGAGCGUUAGGCGGAAUCACUGGGCUUAAAGCGUGUGUAGGUGGAUACCUAAGUGCCUUGUGAAAUCCCAUGGCUUAACCAUGGAAUGGCUGGGCAUACUGGGUGUCUUGAGCCACUCAGGGGCUACCGGAACAAACGGUGGAGCGGUGAAAUGCGUAGAUAUCGUUUGGAACGCCAAUGGUGAAAACAGGUAGCUGGGGGUGUGCUGACACUGAGACACGAAAGCCAGGGGAGCGAACGGGAUUAGAUACCCCGGUAGUCCUGGCCCUAAACGAUGUCCACUAGAUUAUGGCGGUUCUAACGCCGUCAUGGUCGUAGCAAAAGUGCUAAGUGGACCGCCUGGGAAGUACGGUCGCAAGGCUAAA